CGAAGGGUGCAAGCGUUGUUCGGAUUUAUUGGGCGUAAAGGGUGCGCAGGCGGGUUAAUAAGUCAGGUGUGAAAUCUCGGGGCUCAACCCCGAACGUGCGCCUGAAACUAUUAAUCUAGAAUACUAGAGAGGGAAGGGGAAUUUCUCAUGUAGGGGUAAAAUCCGUAGAGAUGAGAAGGAACACCAGAGGCGAAGGCGCCUUCCUGGAUAGUGAUUGACGCUGAGGCACGAAAGCGUGGGGAGCAAACAGGAUUAGAUACCCUGGUAGUCCACGCCGUAAACGAUGAGCACUAGUUGUGGCAGUAAUUAACGACUGCCGUGACGUAGCUAACGCAUUAAGUGCUCCGCCUGGGGAGUACGGUCGCAAGACUA
rnacentral:rRNA from 1 species